AGAAGAGAGACAUGCGCGCAUAUCAAUAAGCGGAGGAAAAGAAACUAACAAGGAUUCCCCUAGUAACGGCGAGUGAAGCGGGAAGAGCUCAAAUUUGAAAUCUUAAAGGGUUUCCCUUUACGAAUUGUAGUUUAAAGAAGUGUUUUCUGUUGAGGUUUUGGUAAAAGUUCUUUGGAAUAGGACAUCAUAGAGGGUGAGAAUCCCGUAUUUGACCUUUACUUUCAACUUUGUGAUACACUUUCAAAGAGUCGGAUUGUUUGGGAAUGCAGUCCAAAAUGGGUGGUAAAUUUCAUCUAAAGCUAAAUAUUGGCGAGAGACCGAUAGCGAACAAGUACCGUGAGGGAAAGAUGAAAAGAACUUUGAAAAGAGAGUUAAACAGUACGUGAAAUUGUCAAAAGGGAAGCGCUUGACACCAGUGUUGUUUUUCUGAAAAUCAAUUAAAGAACUGUUUAUGCUAAGUUGUUUAGACUUUAUCAGCUAACUGUUUAGUUUUGAGCCUUUUCUUUAAUGCACUUUUCAGUUAACAAGUCAACAUCAAUUUCUUUUGCUGUAAAAAAGCUUGAGGAAGGUGGCUUGAGAUUCGUCUUAAGUGUUUAUAGCCUCUUGCCUAUGCAGUCGGAGAGAUUGAGGUCUGCAGCGUAGAUCCUUCGGGGCUAAAUGCAUUUGUGCUAAGUUAUAGCAUUUUAUAGACAACUUGUUGACUAUGAUUUGUCUUGUAGCUUACUCGCUUAUGUUAUUUUACCUACGCUUAGGAUGUUGACGCAUGAGAUAUACGC
rnacentral:rRNA from 1 species